GUUCUAUUUCCUCCGUCCGAAAAAGCUUGUCUCAAUCUUGAGCCUCAAAUGGAUGUAUCUAGCCACAUCUAGCAUUAACUUGAUGGUAGAUACAUCUAUUUAAGGGACAAGCUUUUUCGGACGAAGGGGGUAUAUC
rfam:Triticum urartu cultivar G1812 contig741052, whole genome shotgun sequence.